CCAACGGGCGGCAGCAGUGAGGAAUAUUGGUCAAUGGGCGCAAGCCUGAACCAGCCAUCCCGCGUGAAGGAAGAAGGCGCUAUGCGUCGUAAACUUCUUUUCCAGGGGGAGAAAUUUCCGGUCGUGACCGGAAUUGACGGUACUCUGGGAAUAAGCAUCGGCUAACUCCGUGCCAGCAGCCGCGGUAAUAAGGAGGAUGCGAGCGUUAUCCGGAUUUAUUGGGUGUAAAGGGUGCGUAGGCGGUUCAAUAAGUCAGUGGUUAAAUUCUGCAGCUUAACUGUAGACUUGCCAUUGAUACUGGUGGUCUUGAGUAUGGUCAAGGUAGGCGGAAUGUGUAAUGUAGCGGUGAAAUGCUUAGAUAUUACACAGAACACCGAUUGCGAAGGCAGCUUGCUGGGCCAAUACUGACGCUGAUGCACGAAAGCGUGGGGAUCGAACA
rnacentral:rRNA from 1 species